rnacentral:siRNA from 1 species
UUUACGGGACGGGUUUGGCGAGA